UCAGCGUGAUGAUGAACAAGUAUUACCGAUUACUUAUCAUGAUUGGACUACAACUCCUACUCAUUCUGA
rnacentral:snoRNA from 1 species